rnacentral:rRNA from 1 species
GAUGAACGCUGGCGGCGUGCCUAAUACAUGCAAGUCGAGCGAACGGACGAGAAGCUUGCUUCUCUGAUGUUAGCGGCGGACGGGUGAGUAACACGUGGAUAACCUACCUAUAAGACUGGGAUAACUUCGGGAAACCGGAGCUAAUACCGGAUAAUAUUUUGAACCGCAUGGUUCAAAAGUGAAAGACGGUCUUGCUGUCACUUAUAGAUGGAUCCGCGCUGCAUUAGCUAGUUGGUAAGGUAACGGCUUACCAAGGCAACGAUGCAUAGCCGACCUGAGAGUGUGAUCGGCCACACUGGAACUGAGACACGGUCCAGACUCCUACGGGAGGCGGCAGUAGGGAAUCUUCCGCACUGGGCGAAAGCCUGACGGAGCAACGCCGCGUGAGUGAUGAAGGUCUUCGGAUCGUAAAACUCUGUUAUUAGGGAAGAACAUAUGUGUAAGUAACUGUGCACAUCUUGACGGUACCUAAUCAGAAAGCCACGGCUAACUACGUG